AGGUGAAAUUUAAUUGUUAUUUUAUAUUAAUAUUGAUAAUUAUAACUGAAGCUAAGAAAUCUAAUUAUAAACUAGGAUUAGAUACCCUACUAUUUUAGGAGAAAAUAUAAAGCUAAAUUAGUAUUAGUUAAAUACUUAAAAAUUAAAAAAUUUGGCGGUAAUUUAAUCUUUUCAGAGGAAUUUGUUUUUUAAUCGAUAAACCACGAAGAAUCUUACUUAUUUUUGUUAAUAAAUAAUAAUUAGUUUGUAUACCAUCAUUAUUAGAUAAUUUUUAAAAAAAAAAUUAUUGAAUAUAAAUAAUUAUUAAAAUUAGAUCAUGGUGCAGCUUAUAAAUAAGUUAAAAUGAAUUACAAUAAAUUGUUUUAAAUAAUGGAUUAAUAAAAUAAUUUUUAUUAUGAAGGAGGAUUUGAUAGUAUUAUAAAUUUAAUAUGUUUAUAAGAUAGUAGCUCUAAAUUAUGUACAUAUCGCCCGUCGCUUUCGUUUAUAAAU
rnacentral:rRNA from 1 species